rnacentral:rRNA from 1 species
UACGUAGGGUCCGAGCGUUGUCCGGAAUUACUGGGCGUAAAGAGCUCGUAGGCGGUCUGUCACGUCGGCCGUGAAAACCCGAGGCUCAACCUCGGGCCUGCAGUCGAUACGGGCAAACUAGAGUACUGCAGGGGAGACUGGAAUUCCUGGUGUAGCGGUGAAAUGCGCAGAUAUCAGGAGGAACACCGGUGGCGAAGGCGGGUCUCUGGGCAGUAACUGACGCUGAGGAGCGAAAGCGUGGGGAGCGAACAGG